rnacentral:rRNA from 1 species
GAUGAACGCUGGCGGCGUGCUUAACACAUGCAAGUCGAACGAAGCGACUAUGAUUGAGAUUUCGGUUGAUUGAUUAGUUGACUUAGUGGCGGACGGGUGAGUAACGCGUGGGUAACCUGCCUCGUACAGGGGGAUAACAGUUAGAAAUGACUGCUAAUACCGCAUAACCCGCUAGGGUCGCAUGACCCGGACGGAAAAGAUUUAUCGGUACGAGAUGGACCCGCGGCGCAUUAGCUAGUUGGUGAGGUAACGGCUCACCAAGGCGACGAUGCGUAGCCGACCUGAGAGGGUGAUCGGCCACAUUGGGACUGAGACACGGCCCAGACUCCUACGGGAGGCAGCAGUGGGGAAUAUUGCACAAUGGGGGAAACCCUGAUGCAGCAACGCCGCGUGAGUGAUGACGGCCUCGGUGUAAGUACGUACUCGU